rnacentral:rRNA from 1 species
CGAGAUUUUGCCUUCGGGUACAAUUUGAGACAGGUGGUGCAUGGUUGUCGUCAGCUCGUGUCGUGAGAUGUUGGGUUAAGUCCCGCAACGAGCGCAACCCUUGUGUUUAGUUGCAAACAGGUCAAGCUGUGCACUCUAGACAGACUGCCGUGGACAACACGGAGGAAGGUGGGGAUGACGUCAAAUCAUCAUGCCCCCUUAUGAUCUGGGCUACACACGUGCUACAAUGGCCGGUACAACGGGCAGCGAAGGAGCGAUCCGGAGCGAAUCCUAAAAAGCCGGUCCCAGUUCGGAUUGCAGGCUGAAACUCGCCUACAUGAAGUUGGAGUUGCUAGUAAUCGCCGAAUCAGAACUCGUCGCGGUAGAAUAGGACGUUCCGGGUCGU